GCUUAGCAAAGCCACUGCAGAAAUAUAGAUUUUCUCCGAUGAAGGAAUUUGUUAGAUUAAGCCGUUAUGGAAGGGAAAUAGUCCCUAAUGAGGCCGAAAGGUGUAAAAGAUUUGAAGAGGGACUAAAUGAUAACAUCAAGAUUCAGCUCACUGCCUUGGGAAUCACCGAAUUUACCAAGUUAGUGGAAGCUGCCAUAAAGGUUGAAAAAGUGAGAAUUAGUGAGUGGACUAGAAGAGAGAGACAGCAGAAGAGGGGACCGGGUCAGUCUAGUUCAGCUCCUGCAUCAGGGAAGAAGUUUAAGGGUCCUCCUGCACAGAGUUCGGGUCAGC
rnacentral:misc_RNA from 1 species